rnacentral:misc_RNA from 1 species
AAUAGGGUCGAUAAAGAGACGAUGGAUCUUAUGGUUUCGAUUAUGUGUAGUUGGAUAAAGAAGUUGAUAGAAGGGGAUCAUGAUAUCGGGGACGUGGUUGACCUAUUGGUGGAUAUGGAUUGUGUGGGGUUGAAGCCAAGCUUUAGUAUGAUUGAAAAGGUUAUUUCUUUGUAUUGGGAGAUGGGACGGAAGGAAAGAGCUGUUUCAUUUGUGAAAGAGGUUUUGAGACGGGGAAUUGCCUAUUCGAAAGAUGAUGGAGAAGGUCAAAAGGGAGGCCCAACUGGGUAUCUUGCAUGGAAGAUGAUGGUUGACGGAAACUAUAGGGAUGCUGUCAAAUUGGUUAUCCAUCUUAGAGAAUCUGGGUUGAAGCCAGAGGUCUACUCCUGCCUAAUUGCAAUGACAGCUGUUGUGAAAGAGCUAAACGAAUUUGCAAAAGCUUUACGCAAAUUGAAAGGUUUUGCAAAGACUGGUGUGAUAGCUGAACUCGAUGCUGAAAAUGUAAGCAUUAUUGAGAAAUACCAGUCAGAUCUUCUAGCUGAUGGAGUAUGUUUGUCAAGUUGGGUGAUUCAGGAGGGAAGCCCUUCACUUUAUGGUGUAGUUCAUGAG